rnacentral:rRNA from 1 species
UUCGCAAUGCCCGAAAGGGUGACGAAGCGACGCCGCGUGUGGGAUGAAGGCCUUCGGGUUGUAAACCACUGUCGGGAGUUAAGAAUUGUAGGAAUGCUAAUAGUAUUUCUACUUGACUAAGGCUCCGGAGGAAGCCACGGCUAACUCUGUGCCAGCAGCCGCGGUAAUACAGAGGCGGCAAGCGUUGUUCGGAAUUACUGGGCGUAAAGAGCAUGUAGGCGGCUAUGUAAGUCGGUUGUGAAAGCCUUCCGCUUAACGGAAGAAUGGCGGUCGAAACUGCAUGGCUUGAGUGCGGGAGGGGAGAGUGGAACUUCUGGUGGAGCGGUGAAAUGCGUAGAUAUCAGAAGGAACGCCGGCGGCGAAAGCGGCUCUCUGGCCCGUAACUGACGCUGAGUGUGCGAAAGCUAGGGGAGCAAACGGGAUUAGAUACCCCGGUAGUCCUAGCCGCAAACGAUGGGCACUAAGUAGAGGGGUUUU